UACGUAGGGCGCAAGCGUUACUCGGAAUCACUGGGCAUAAAGGGCGUGUAGGCGGGUGUGUAAGUCCGGUGUGAAAUCCCUCGGCUCAACCGAGGAAGGCCAUUGGAUACUGCACAUCUUGAGUGCGGGAGGGGAGAGUGGAACUCUUGGUGGAGCGGUGAAAUGCGUAGAUAUCAAGAGGAACGCCGGUGGCGAAAGCGGCUCUCUGGCCCGUAACUGACGCUGAGGCGCGAAAGCUAGGGGAGCAAAC
rnacentral:rRNA from 1 species